rnacentral:misc_RNA from 1 species
CAACCCUCGAGCCCCCCGUGGCCCGGCGUUGGGGAUCUGCCACGGCAGGCCCCGAAAUCCAGUGGCGGACCCGCUGGGCCCUCUCCUUGCGUAGUAGCAUCAGCCUCGCAUCGGGAGCCCGCGUGGCAUCCUGCCCCUAAACCCCCCACAAGCCCGCUCCGGCGGCACCAA